rnacentral:lncRNA from 1 species
GAUUACAGGCGUGAGCCACUGCGCCUGGCCUAUUGCUUUUAUUUUUAAAUUUGGAGAAAUUAUGUAGCUCAAUUCAUAAAUAAGUAGAUGAACGAAGCAACUACUUUGUUUUCCCAAAUCUUUGUUUCAAAUAAGAAGGGAAAUAUCGUGAUUGAGAGGUCUCUUCCCUUCUUUUAGUAAAAAUAAUGCAAUACCGCGUUUAAGGGCAUAUAAGUGAAUGAGAGUUAGUAUUGACCUUAUGCUACUGUGAUAUAUGUCAAUUAAAAAAAUGCUAAUGUGUCAAUUUCGGGAGGAUAAAGCAAAAAGAAAAAAAUGCUAAUGUGAGAACAAGCAUGCCAGCAAGCCAUGGUCACCCCACACCCAAUAAAACAGGUAAACAGGAAAACACAAAAAGUACCUGUGAGUAUGAAUAGUAUAUAUAAAAUAUUUUCAAAGAAACAAGUUACUCUUAUGUAUCUUCAAUAGAAAGGAAAAACUAUUAUUUAUUCAGCUUAUGUAUAAUUAUGUUUUCUGUUGCUGAUUCAGUUACUUUUGGGAAAGGCAGUACAAGUAAAGCCACUCAAUAUGGCUUUGUGUUGGACAUUCGUAGUUUCUUAGAACAGCUAACGAAAAUGUAGCUUUUAUGCCCUUUGUUUUUUAACAUAAAGAAUCUGAGAUUGAAGAGGUAGUGUGUUCAGGAUUACAGAAUGAUAAAUGGUGGAAUCUAGACUCAAAUGUAAAGCAGUAUUAUUUCCAAAGCCAGCUACUUUUGUGUUCAGCUAUAUUGUUUUUGAAUUUUCAGUGAUUUAUUGGUAGGCUUUUUGUUAUCUGGGAAUUCCUUCUAUUAAAAUUAUAUUGUCAAGUGUUGAAAUAUGCAGGUUUUAACUAGUUGCAUUGACACAGCUUGAUUUUGUGUCACUCUAAAACUCACCCCCUGCUCCCCCAGGGAGCAAAAACAAAUAAAAACCACAUAUAAACAUAGCUUUCUAGGAACAGUAGUUUCAGAUACUGCUUCCUAAAUUGUUCAAAUAUCUUAGCUUUUCAGUUCUGUUUGUUCCAAGGUGGUCAUAUAUUGUUAUUUUUCAAUAAUCAGAUUUAGUUGUUUUGCCAUUUUUGUUUAGGGAAUUACUAUUAAUUGUUUUUUAAUAUUAAGCAUGAUAAACUUCAGAUGUUUCUCUUUUUAAAGACCUGGUUUUCGUAUAUUGAGUGGUUUCACUUUUGUUACCUUGCCCCAAAGUAAUUGAAUCAGCAACAGAAGAAAGCAUGACAUUUUAAUUGUCUACGUCAAAUUACAUAAUCUAGUGAAGUAUGAAGACUACACUGUUAAAUUAUUAAUGACUUUUGUUUAUUAAACCAAGCAGUGAAAGAGAUGGUAUAGGGACAUUCCCCUCAUAUUUUAUAAGUCAUACUACUGGCUAAAUAGUAUCAGGAUUGUUUUUAGCUCUGCAUUGCUAACUGAGUGAUCUGUCUAAAACUUAAAUUAGACUAUGUCCCUCCUUUGCUUUUAAGUCUUAAAAACUGCUGCUUACCAGUCAAAGUCUAUAUUACUUAGUAUGGUAUUUAAAGCUUUUAAGUUCUAGCCCCCUGCUGACUACCCUAACGUCAUUCCUAUAUAUUUCAAAGCCUAUCCUACCGAAGUUUGUCUGCUGGCAACACUAACUACUAUUUUUCUGUAUGUAGAGAGAUUCUACACUUUGGUUUAUAUAUUCUAUUCUGUCCUAUUUGACUGUUUUCCCUUACCACCAGACUAUUUGGUCUCCUUUUUCCCCACAUUUGUAACUUUUUAUAUUCUUUUUAAGACGUGCUCUUGCUCUUUUGCUCAGAGUUGAGUGCAGUCGUGAAUCAUAGCUCAUCGUGGCCUUGAACUCCUGGGCUCAAGCAAUCUUCCUGCCUCAGCCUCCCAAGUGUAGCUGGGGCUACAGACGUACACCAGCAUGCCUGGCUAAUUUUAUUUUUAUUUUUAUUUUUAGAGACAGGGUGUUGUUGUGUUGCCCAGGCUGGUCUUAAACUCCUGGCCUCAACUCCUGCCUCAGCUGGGAUUACAGGUGUGAGCCACUGGGCUGGGUGGCUAUCAUGUUUUAUCUAAAAUUAGAAACUCCUUGAGGCAGGGACCAUUUAUCUUUGUAUCUUUAGUGUUCAGCACCUAGUAGUAACUCAGCAAAUGUUUGUUUUCUUUCUGACAUAUUUGUCAUAUUUGUAUUUGUUGUAUUUAGCAUCAGAAAGCCAAAUAUGGUCAUUCAACGUUAAUUUGACUGAUUCCUUUUGUUAUUUUAGUCCAGAAUUGCUACCAAAGUGUUUAGGUUUGACCUUUUUGUGCCCAGGAAGUCUAGUCGUUUUGAUGAUAAAUCUAAAUUGGUUGAGGUGUAAUGAAAAAGACAACCAGGUGUCUAGAAGUGACUGUGACAAUUGCAGAUUUAUCUUGUUUGUGCAUGCUGGUUUUUUUUUUUUUCAGUGUUCAAAGCCUGUAUUGCAUCAGGUUUUCAGGUUUAGAUUUCCUAAAUUUGGAACACAAAGUUCCCUUUUUAGAAGAAUAGGUAUUGAGCCCUUGAGCGUGGGUAGAAAGAUAGAGACAGAGUGAUUUGCAAAAUAAUGGAGGAUCAUAUUUAUAUAUGAAUUUUCACUUAUUUGAACUUUCAGAUAUCAGCUCAAAAGCUUUGGUAUAAGUAAAGUAUAUUAAUGAGACUCCUUGGAUGAAAGUAACCAAAACCAGUAAAAAUAAGGUAAUAAGGAUGUAAUAGUUUCUUAUGGACACUCAACAGCUAGAAUGCAGUUAGUCUCAGAAAAGAAUUAGAACAAAUAACUGGAAGGCCAUCAGGAGUCCAAAACCAUCACUCUUUUAUAUUUUAUAUUUUAUUUUUCUCUCUUCAGAUGAGCAUUCUCUUUCUAUGUCCAUAUGGUAGAAGGCGGCAGCUCCAUAGAUUAUGGCUUCAGAUGUUACAGUUCCGCUAAAUGCAGGGACAGACUUGCUAUCUUUCAGUCCCACUUACAUAUCCUGGGGAGAGAGCAAAUGAUUGACUGGCUUGAGUCAGGUGCCCGUUCCCUUUCCAAUCUGCUCCAUCUAGGAGGGCAGUGUUACCUGGUACCAAAAUAGAUGUUAGAGGGCCACCCCUUUCAAAAGGGAGAAUAGCUCUCACAACAGGGCUUCUAUGUUGUGCAGGUUGCUUAUUCCACAUGCUGCUUGCCAAGCUGUAUGCCUAUAAGGGCUGCAGUUUUAAAAUUUGUACAAAGGUGCUUUAUGGAUUUGUGGUAACCUUUUCUCAGAGAAAGGAGGAGUCAUUGUGAAUUGGGGGGCUAUUCCAAGGGGGUCUGCUAUGUCAUUUUUGGGGGAUAUUUAUUGUCCAUCUUAGUAUUGCCAGACUCUUAGCAUUGAAAUAUUAGAUUGUCUCUCACCCUUGGGCCAUGGAGUUUUAUUGCAGCAAAAACAAAAAUCCAUAUGUAUAUAAGUGUUUUCUCAAUAGGUAUAUUGACAGUGGACUUACUAUGAUGUGGAGCUUUGACAUUUGUGGACCUGCUGCGGUGUCCUUACACUCAUUGAGAACCAUUGAUGUUACGCAAAUGCUAUUAAACUUUGCAUCUAAGACUU